rnacentral:lncRNA from 1 species
CCCGCCCGUGCCCGCCGCCCGCCUGGAGCCCGCGGCCGCUUUGCUGUCGGAGGCCGAGCCCCCUCCCAGCACGCUCAGAAUUCGGGGCUUCUGUGCAUUUUCGCGGUACGGCUGAACACGCGACUUUCCGUCCUACAUUAAGGGCACAGGCAGCUCUAGGAAAGAUCGUGCUUAUGGCGCUUGUAAUUUUGAUACUAGAAAUGUAUGCGGUCUGACUCGCCAUUCGUGUCAUAAAUGGUACUGAAACUCUAAAUUGAGGCUCUCCGCAGCCGUAGCUCGCUUACAUCUAAAUGAACAGACGAUGUUUCUAUCCGGCGUAUUUCUCUGCCGUCGCUUUAUUCCCAACGUUCGCUAUGAAGAAGGGAUCCGCGCUCCCACCGCAUCCCGGACAGCCCGGAUCGCAGCCCGGCGCACCGCGCUACCGGCCGGGGGAAAGAAGUGCCUUUCAACUUACAGAGGCUGUACACUCGCUUCAAAUACUGCAGACGUAGAGCAGUGAAGGGAAAGCAGGGGCAGCAGAAUGAGCAGAGUGCCGUUCAGGAUCUGUGUGUUUUCCCCGCACCUCCUUCACGCAGAAUGACAAAGGACCCGAGGACACACCACGCUGGGGAAACGCCUGGGGAAUGCCGUGGUUGGUUCUGCAGGGGAUCAGAAUGUGCUCCGGAAGGCUCAAUAUCACAAACGGCCGUUUUCCUCUCAUUCUUAUUGCCUAAGAUAUGAAUGUUCAUAUUCAAGAAUGCGCUUUCAAAUCCACAGCACUCCAGGGUAAUAUUAAAUGAACUCUAUUUAAUAAAACACAUUCCAAGUUGUUAUUUUGAUUGGAG